rnacentral:rRNA from 1 species
GAUGAACGCUGGCGGCGUGCCUAAUACAUGCAAGUCGAGCGAACGGACGAGAAGCUUGCUUCUCUGAUGUUAGCGGCGGACGGGUGAGUAACACGUGGAUAACCUACCUAUAAGACUGGGAUAACUUCGGGAAACCGGAGCUAAUACCGGAUAAUAUUUUGAACCGCAUGGUUCAAAAGUGAAAGACGGUCUUUCUGUCACUUAUAGAUGGUUCCGCGCUGCAUUAGCUAGUUGGUAAGGUAACGGCUUACCAAGGCAACGAUGCAUAGCCGACCUGAGAGGGUGAUCGGCCACACUGGAACUGAGACACGGUCCAGACUCCUACGGGAGGCAGCAGUAGGGAAUCUUCCGCAAUGGGCGAAAGCCUGACGGAGCAACGCCGCGUGAGUGAUGAAGGUCUUCGGAUCGUAAAACUCUGUUAUUAGGGAAGAACAUAUGUGUAAGUAAAUGUGCACAUCUUGACGGUACCUAAUCAGAAAGCCACGGCUAACUACGUG